GGGAGGGGGGGCCAGCGUUGUUCGGAAUUAUUGGGCGUAAAGGGCGCGUAGGGCGGCCUGGUUAGUCAGACGUGAAAUCCCGCGGCUCAACCGCGGAACUGCGUUUGAUACUGCCCGGACUUGAGUCCCGGAGAGGGUAGCGGAAUUCCCAGUGUAGCGGUGAAAUGCGUAGAUAUUGGGAGGAACACCAGUGGCGAAGGCGGCUACCUGGACGGGUACUGACGCUGAGGCGCGAAAGCGUGGGGAGCAAACAGGAUUAGAUACCCUGGUAGUCCACGCCGUAAACGAUGGGCACUUGGUGUUGCGGGUAUCGACCCCUGCAGUGCCGAAGCUAACGCAUUAAGUGCCCCGCCUGGGGAGUACGGUCGCAAGGCUG
rnacentral:rRNA from 1 species